rnacentral:rRNA from 1 species
UACGUAGGGCGCAAGCGUUGUCCGGAAUUAUUGGGCGUAAAGAGCUCGUAGGCGGCUUGUCACGUCGAUUGUGAAAGCUCGGGGCUUAACCCCGAGUCUGCAGUCGAUACGGGCUAGCUAGAGUGUGGUAGGGGAGAUCGGAAUUCCUGGUGUAGCGGUGAAAUGCGCAGAUAUCAGGAGGAACACCGGUGGCGAAGGCGGGUCUCUGGGUAGUAACUGACGCUGAGGAACGAAAGCGUGGGUAGCGAACAGG